GCCUUCGUGGUGUAGCGGUCAGCACGCUCGAUGCGUAACCGAGAGGUCCGUGGUUCGAUUCCCGACGAAGGCU
rnacentral:tRNA from 1 species